rnacentral:rRNA from 1 species
UUAUACGAUGAAGAGUUUGAUCCUGGCUCAGGAUGAACGCUAGCGGCAGGCUUAACACAUGCAAGUCGAGGGGU